rnacentral:rRNA from 1 species
CCCUAUGGGGCGCCGGAGGCACCAGGGGGGGAAGAUCUCCUACGAGGACCGGCGGGACGGAACGCUCCUCGACCUGCGGGCGUCAUUUUACGUGACGGUCUGGGGCGAAAAGACGGUGCUCCGCAUCCUCAACCGGAAGGCGACGCUUCUCGAUCUCGACCAGAUCGGGAUGUUUCCCCUCAUGAUGGAGCGGUUCCGGAUGGACGCCCUGGACGUGCCGAGCGGGGUCAUUAUCAUAACGGGGCCUACGGGAUCGGGCAAGACGACCACCCUCUACUGUUGCGUCAACUACCCCAACAACAUCCACACGAGCAUCCUCACGGCCGAAGAUCCCGUCGAAUACGUGAUAGACGGAAUCUCGCAGUGCUCCAUCGACAGCAAGAUAAGCCUGACCUUCGAGGAGAGC